CAAAGUAAAAAGGGCAUACGGGGGAUGCCUUGGCGACUGAAGGCGAAGAAGGACGCGGUAAGCUGCGAAAAGCUACGGGGAGCCGCAAGCAGGUAGAGAUCCGUAGAUAUCCGAAUGGGGGAACCCAAAGAUCCUGAAAAGGAAGCGAACGCCGGGGACGGAAACAUCUUAGUACCGGCAGGAAAAUAAAUCAAAAGAGAUUCCCUGAGUAGUGGCGAGCGAAAAGGGAAGAGCCCAAACCAGUUAGAUGUAAAAGGAGACAGCCGUUGUCUGACUGGGGUAGAGGGAUAUACAGGAGAGACUGUCGAAUCUCAGCGAAGAGAAAGAAGGUAAUCGAAUUAUCUGGGAAGAUAAACCGAAGAGGGUGAGAGUCCCGUAGAUGAAACCGGAAGAGGAAGCGCGUAUAAUCCCAAGUAGCGUGAGACACGAGAAAUCUUGCGUGAAUCAGGGUGGACCACCAUCCAAGGCUAAAUACUAACAGUCGACCGAUAGAGAACAGUACCGUGAGGGAAAGGUGAAAAGGACCCCGGGAGGGGAGUGAAAGAGAACCUGAAACCGUAUGCCUACAGAAAGCGGGAGCGAAAGUGACCGCGUGCCUUUUGAUUAAUGUGCCUGUGAGUUAUGGUCAACGGCGAGGUUAAGCCGAUAGAGGCGGAGCCGAAGGGAAACCGAGUGUUAAUAGCGCGGAAGUCGAUGGCUAUAGGCCCGAAACUAUGUGAGCUAUCCAUGUGCAGGUUGAAAGUCAGGUAAAACUGACUGGAGGACCGAACCGGUUGGUAGUGAAAAACCUUCGGAUGACAUGUGGAUAGGAGUGAAAAGCUAACCGAACAUAGUGAUAGCUGGUUCUCCCCGAAACGUGUGUAGGCACGGCCUCGUUAAGAGAAAGUAUUAGGGGUAGAGCACUGAUUGACGUAGGGGGGUAACCUCUGAAAUCAGUCAAACUCCGAAUACUAAUACUGGAUAAACGGGAGACAGACUGCGGGGGAAAAGCUCCGUGGUCGAGAGGGAAACAGCCCAGACCGCCAGCUAAGGUUCCGAAGAGACAGCUAAGUGUGAAAGGUAGUGAAGUUCUUAAGACAGCCAGGAGGUUGGCUUAGAAGCAGCCAUCCUUUAAAGAGUGCGUAACAGCUCACUGGUUGAAGAACAUUGCGCCGAAAAUGUAACGGAGCUAAAGCUGUACACCGAAGCUGCGGAAUGACCAAAUGGUUGUUGGUAGGGGAGCAUUGUGUAGUAGGGAGAAGUCGAGCUGGAAGGUGAGAUGGACGAGACACAAGAGCGGAUGCAGGCAUGAGUAACGAGAUGAGAGUGAGAAUCUCUCACCCCGAAAGCCUAAGGGUACCUGGGGAAGGGUCGUCCACCCAGGGUAAGUCGGGACCUAAGGAAAACCCGAAAGGGGUAUCUGAUGGAAAACCGGUAAAGAAUCCGGUACCUAGGAAAUACGAGAUACUCGAGGGGACGCAGGAGAUGAAUUUCUGAGACCAAGUUGCAAGGUCUUCUAAGCAGUAAUACCGAAGAAGUAUAUAGUGAAGAACGUAUACGGAGGGGGAGCUGUGAUGGCGAGUACGCAAGUACAAGAGGGAGGAGUCAUACUGCCAAGAAAAGCCUCGUUUAUCGUUUGAGUAUAACUAGCCCGUUCUAUAAACCGACACAGGUAGGCGAGCUGAGAAAGCUAAGGGGAGCGGAAUAACUUCUGUUAAGGAACUAGGCAAAAUAGCCCCGUAACUUCGGGAAAAGGGGUGCUCUAGGCGGUUUAGCAAUAAGCGGCAGAGAGUUGCAGUGACAAGGCCCUGGCGACUGUUUACCAAAAACACAGGACUCUGCGAACACGAUAAGUGGAAGUAUAGGGUCUGACGCCUGCCCAGUGCUGGAAGGUUAAGAGGAGAUGUGCAAGCAUUGAAUUGAAGCCCCAGUAAACGGCGGCCGUAACUAUAACGGUCCUAAGGUAGCGAAAUUCCUUGUCGGGUAAGUUCCGACCUGCAUGAAUGGCGUAACGAUCAGGGCGCUGUCUCAACAGAAGAUCCGGUGAAAUUACAGAGUGGGUGAAGAUGCCCACGACCCGCAGUUAGACGGAAAGACCCCAUGGAGUUUUACUGUAGCUUGGCAUUGUAGUUUGUUAUAAUGUGUACAGGAUAGGUGGGAGGCGGAGAAGGCGUAUCGCAAGGUGCGCCGGAGCCGAUGGUGGGAUACCACCCUCAUUAUAAUGUGCUACUAACGGUGGUAUGUGAAGAGCAUAAGCCGGACAAUGUUAGGUGGGCAGUUUGACUGGGGCGGUCGCCUCUAAAAGAGUAACAGAGGCGUGCGAAGGUCUGCUCAGGUGGGUUGGAAAUCCACCGAUGAGUGCAAGGGCAAAAGCAGGCUUGACUGCGAGACUGACAGGUCGAGCAGGAUGGAAACAUGGUCCUAGUGACCCGGCGAAUUUUGAGUGGAAAAGUCGUCGAUCAACGGAUAAAAGUUACCCUGGGGAUAACAGGCUAAUCACGCCCAAGAGUUCAUAUCGACGGCGUGGAUUGGCACCUCGAUGUCGGCUCAUCGCAUCCUGGGGCUGAAGUCGGUCCCAAGGGUUGGGCUGUUCGCCCAUUAAAGCGGUACGUGAGCUGGGUUCAGAACGUCGUAAGACAGUUCGGUCCCUAUCUGCUGCGGGCGCAGGAAGCUUGAAGGGGGUUGCUCUUAGUACGAGAGGACCGGAGUGAGUAUACCGCUGGUGAACCAGCUGUCAGGCAAAUGGCAGGAGCUGGGUAGCUAAGUAUAUGACCGAUAACCGCUGAAAGCAUCUAAGCGGGAAACGGGCCCUAAGAUUAGGCUUCCCACCAUAUUUAUAUGGGUAAGGGUAGUUCGAGACUAGAACGUCGAUAGGUUGCAGGUGUAAGUGCAGUGAUGUAUUGAGCCGAGCAAUACUAAUAACCCGAGGCUUUG
rnacentral:rRNA from 1 species